rnacentral:rRNA from 1 species
AGCAGCAGCCACGGUAAUACGUAGGGUGCAAGCGUUAAUCGGAAUUACUGGGCGUAAAGCGUGCGCAGGCGGUUAUAUAAGACAGAUGUGAAAUCCCCGGGCUCAACCUGGGAACUGCAUUUGUGACUGUAUAGCUAGAGUACGGCAGAGGGGGAUGGAAUUCCGCGUGUAGCAGUGAAAUGCGUAGAUAUGCGGAGGAACACCGAUGGCGAAGGCAAUCCCCUGGGCCUGUACUGACGCUCAUGCACGAAAGCGUGGGGAGCAAACAGGAUUAGAUACCCCAGUAGUCCCUGUCUCUUAUAC